AAAGGACCCAGCGUUGCCCUUGCUAUGUAUAAUGUUGAUCAGGUUUGUCUUUAGACAGCUCGCCUGCAAAUUGAAUCUUUUUUACAGUCUUUUGCCUCAUCAUCUGGAUUUUUGUAAAAAUUUAUCGAUCUACUCGAGCAUUUGCAGAAUCAUCAAUGGCAAUGGCAUUUGCAAAAAAAAAUAAAAAAAUGGCCUCUUUACUUGAGCACAAAGAAUACAAUUCUUAAGAAGCAUGAUGUCGGGUUAUUUGUUUCGGAAAAGCUUGGUCAACUAUUAUCAUAAUAAUAAAAUCAAAUGUAUCUAUAUAAUACCAUUUACAUCAAUAUUUCACUAUUUCGGGUUCAAGGAUAUAUUUCAGAAGGUAUAUGAAGAGAAGUGGAAGGAGCAACUUGAAGAAUAUUCAAUAUGGUUGGCUUUAUAUCUUUGAUGCAUAUCACCUUAUGUGCCCAUUCACAUUGUUUUCUAAAACAUAUAUGCUUCCCCUAGGUGAAUGCCUGUAAAAAUCGAGACAUAAAAAAUAGAUUAAUGUGGCU
rnacentral:lncRNA from 1 species